GCGUCGGUGCUGCAACGGUUUAGCACAUACUCCCAGAAAUAGUAAGUACUGGAUUCGAAUCCCACCUGACGCA